ACGUGGGUGGGGAAUCCUUUAAAGUAUUGUCUCAUCAUACAAAUUCAUAUUUUUCUUCAGCUCUCUUAUCAUACAAAUAGUUACCUGAUUCUCUGGUUAUGGCUGAAUCACUUGUUUCUGGUGUCUUAGAGCAGUUGAUUUCAGUCAUUGGUGAAGGCAUACAACAAAAGGUGAGGCUAAUUGUUGGUGUUGACAAAGAAGUUGAAAAGCUGAGAAGCAAUCUUGAAGCUAUUCAAGCUGUGCUGGUUGAUGCAGAGGAAAGACAAGUGAAAGAGAAAACUGUAGAACUUUGGUUAGAUCGGCUCAAACAGGCUUCCUACGACAUUGAAGAUGUGUUGGGUGGGUGGAACUAUGCAAUUCUAAAACAAAAGUUGAGGGAGUUGAUGAUGCUACCGUUCCUAGGAAGAAGUCCAACUUGUCAUGUUAUCAAAGAGAGGACAAAUGGUGCUAGAAGAGUGGUUAAAAGAACUCAAUUAGGGGUUUGGAUAUGCUAUCCCAAUGCUUGUUUGUUUCUAGAUUUCUUAUUAGUGGUUUGAUAUCACAGUGUUAUGUUUAUUUCUUUGAUGUAUGUGAAGAAGCUGUCAUCAGAGUUUGUCUAAUUACUGGAGGACAUAGAAAUGCAGAUCCAGUUUAUCUUAUUUAUGGAAGAAAAAACUUUGUUGACACACUUGUCAAUAAAAGAUGAUUUUCCAGAUGAAACAAAAGCUCAAUCCUGUCUUAAAAUCUUCCUGGUUUGAGUAUUGAAGAACUGGAAAGCCUUGCUGAGUUAGGAAGCAGAGCACAAAAGACAACUCGGAGGGACAGUGCUCAUGUUGUGAGUGGUGCUUAGAUAUCAAUCACCGUCUUAACAUAGGCUUUCAGCCCAAUGUUAUUCGUUGUAAUUUCUGAAAAUUUAGCUGAAGAGAUGAUGGAAUGCCAUGAAAUGACACUCUGAAUUCUUCUGUGCGCU